rnacentral:rRNA from 1 species
UACGGGGGGGGCAAGCGUUGUUCGGAAUUACUGGGCGUAAAGGGCUCGUAGGCGGCCAACUAAGUCAGACGUGAAAUCCCUCGGCUUAACCGGGGAACUGCGUCUGAUACUGGAUGGCUUGAGGUUGGGAGAGGGAUGCGGAAUUCCAGGUGUAGCGGUGAAAUGCGUAGAUAUCAGGAGGAACACCGGUGGCGAAGGCGGUUCUCUGGGCCUUACCUGACGCUGAGGAGCGAAAGCGUGGGGAGCAAACAGG